GACAAACCGGUUAUAAAUAUAAACUGUCUUCAGUGUUGGCCUUAAACUUCCUGUUGUUCGAAUCACGAGAAUUUUCUUUUAUACUUUUAUAACAAUGUAAUGUGACACCUUAAGCUAAAAUGCGCAAACAGUUUUGAUAUGUAAACCGGGGAAGUUUUCAAUAGGGACAGGCAGAUAUAGACGACCGAAGUUCUAACUUACUUUAAUCUAAAUUUUGCAAAUAAAAUAACUUGGUGUCAACUUUUGAAAAGGAUUGUCAACGACGUCUACUGCAAGAACUAAAGAGAACAAAACAGAGAAUGAAGGUUUAUCUUUGUUUAAUCGUCUGUUUGUUGUUAGUAUCUGUUGGAGUUAAUAUGGCAAAAGAAGAAAUAUCCGAAAACGAUGCACUUAUUCAUGAGCUUGUAAAACGAGGUGCGUGUCGAUGAAGACUAUGCCAUGUUAAUAGUGACUGCUGUCGGUAUGAUCGUUGUAUCAUUGGACAUUGCAUGAGGUUCAGACAAAGAUAAUGAUAUCGGCUAUGUGUUAAUAACGCGAUUAACAGGUUUUUGUAAUCAAAAAUAACAAAUAUUAUAAACUUAGAUAUUUAUAUGAUUGAAUGAGAUUAAAAUCUGUUUUGUAUUCUGAAA